GGGGACAUGUCUUCGGAUGUAACACCUGCACAGUAAGGUAAUGUUCUAGAUUUUUUUUGAAAGACCAAUCGUCUAAGCCUUCUAUAAUCCUGUGUUCUUUAAUAGUAUGAAUCACAAUCAAACUGGUCAGUAGUGACUAAGACUAAACAUGGGAUGGACUAGGAGCAGUGGUAGAUCUUGAAAGUGCUCUUUUGACACCCGACUACCUUUUUCUUGUCCAAUUAGAUUUCUGAUCUUUAGGUGUGUCCUUGAAGAUUCACAAUUUCACAUGCCUCUGUGCCAUCUCCGGACAGCUUGCAUGUGUCGCUACCACUCUAGUUCUAUUUUUGAAAAUCAUGACUAAUUCCCGUCUAUCACCACCGCCAUCCAACGAAUGACCAUUCAUUUAAAGCCGACAUCAAUUUGAGUUGACAAUCCAGAAGGCCGAAGGGCCUUGACGUUGGCACUUGAAAAUUAUCUGAUACGCAAAAUUUAGAUCAAUGUGGUCAUGUCUCUAUCGGUUUUCGCCUGUUUUUUUGUGACAAUUUUCUUCUUAAUUGAUGUACGAGGUCCAUUUAAAGAAUAACAAUUAGAUCAACAUGCCUUAAAUUUUGACUUAAAUCCAAGAUAUUCUUUACUGUAUUGUUUGUGUACAAAUCCUACUUACAAAGAAAAGAGAAUGCACAUGUUAACUCGGGAGCUGGCUGUGUUUUUUUAUUCUGUUCUUUAUCAGAUUCAUUUUUAUCUGUUUGCCAAUGAGUCCACUAAAGUCCGUGCCUCUAGUAGCCAGGAUUUAUAAGAGAGGGAGUAUUUGUCAACUUGGAGAGGGAGGGGGUGAGAAGUGACCUUGCUUCCUUUAAAUUUCGUUGUUGAGAGUACACAGUGAAGGUUAUACCUUUCUUCAUAUUUAUGCUGGCUAAUCUCUCGUUUUCGAUUGAAGUUCUUAGAUUUUUAUGAAUGGUUUCUCGUACAUGACAUGUACAGUCAUACCGUUAAUAUGUAUAAGGGAGUGAUUGCAACGGGUAAUGGCACUAGCACAAUUUUAAUUAAUUCAAAAUCGGCCCAUGAACUAUGUGACAAGGGUAUGUGGAAUAUUGAAUAUCCGACGACCACUCAAAAAUCAAGCUGUACUAGCUUGUACCCUUGAAGAUCAAGAUAUGCAAAGAGAAUAUAUGGCUUAUGCAUGCUUGAACUUUGGUAUAACUGAACAGUAUAGUUGCAUUGCAUCACCCUUCAGCUGUGUAUGUGGUUUGCUAGCAUUAUUGGUAUUCUUGCUCAAUUCAAUCUGAAUUAUCUCUGUCUCUGUUAUGUAUUAUUGCCAUUUUGUGUUGAUAGCUGAUUAGUCUCCUUCGUGUCUUCUUACACAUUUGGUUCUAAUUUCUUCUGUGUAAUAUAUAUAGCAGAUAGGGGGCACCAAAAGCCAUAGACAACGGAGGGACCAUCAUGGAUGGUUUCAUGGAUGCUGGACAGUUGCAGAUAAGUAUCCUUUUAUUCUAUGGUAUACACGAAGCCAGCAAGGGGAUCAUGAGAUCAAACCAGAUACUCGUGGCUGUGUGAAUUGGCUGGUGGGAAGUAGCUUAAUAUAUCCAGGUUUAAUUUCCAAGAGACAAAAAAAGAAACAGUGGUUAUGAAAACUUAAAAUGGACCAAGGACAUAAAAUUAUAAGGCCUCGUUUGAGAUACUAGCUACAGAGUAUUGUCGUACAAUGGACAGUGCUAGGUUAAAUUCAUUUUUUGGGUGGGAUAUUUGUACUAUGUAGGACCGCUCAAAGAAUAUAAUAUUAUGGACAAUUAAUUAAAGAUGCAUACUGUAGUGUCAACUGUUGCUGAUUGGAACUACUACUUGGCAGCAGCAGCCUGGGCCGGGGUACUACUCCCGGUACUACUUAAAACCAUGGGAGGUCUCAGCGCUGGAGUCAAGUUGCUCCUGGGAACUACUACCGAGGAGAGUGAUACGGCUGCUAGUGUUGUACUCGCCUUGGGAGCUGAAUCAUGGAGAUGCUGCCGGUACACUGCAAGUCUGCAACAUGCGGCUUCUCUCUUUCUCUCCCUAACAACCCCCCUUCUUCUUUCCUGUUGCCUUGUUUUCAUGGAAGCAGGUUUUAGCCAUGGUGGUGGGGCUUCAUCAAGUUCUUGUUGGGGUAAAAAUGGAGCAUGGAGUAAGCUAAGAGAUGAGCCAUUUUUGGCAAGGAAGGUGGCCUCACUUUGCUUUUGCCAGAUCUAGUUUGCAUCUUAGGAUGAGGGCAUCAUGUUAAUAGCCAACGUAACAGCUGCACCAUCAAUUUGCACAAGGUACAUAUACAGUAGGCAAGAUCAGAAGGGCAGUUAGAGAAGGCAUACACACACACAAGAUCACCAGGAACAAGAAGCAGAAGCUGGCCGGAACAGCAUGACGACUGUACGAACGAGACCUCAAAGAGGGCACGGCCAAGUCGUGGAUCAGUAUUUGUACCCGCUGAGUCAGACAAGAUGAAAAACUAGGUGCCGGGAGGAAGAACGUCGACCAGGGAAAUUAUCUAGCAUGUAUCACUGAAGUUGCUCUGUAACGACGUACCUGUUCCAGUCAACCGUGCAGGUCAACACGGCGCUGCUACAUACAUGAACUGGCUAACAACAAACAUAUCACUUAAUCAAAUGAAUUACAAUUCCCAUGACGGCGAACUGCGUUGUUACUUUGCGCAGAAGCCUAUCAAAGUUUCGACAUAAACAUGGGCGCCGGUGAAUUCUGAGGCGGCGAACCCCCUCUACUAGCAAGCACCUGCAACGAGAAAAUCGAUGAUCGAGUGAGGACCAAUAUGCGUGCUAGUACUGUAUAUCUUCAGAAAGUGUACAUCAGGAAUUAGUAGCAGAUGAAGUGCAUAUUACAGAUUCUGCUAAUGAUACAGGGAAUUCACAGCUUCAUAGAGGUAUUCCUGCACAGGGGUGAACUUCAUGCCUAGGUCCUUGAGAGGCUGGUUCGUGUACUUGUAACCCUUCUUUGGCGGAUUCACCUCGUCCUUGCAUCUGUACAGGUUUUGUGAAGGGUUAGAGACUUGUCACUGUCCAAAGAUGCCCAACUAAUUAAGUCAUUGUUAAGCGUGUUGAGAAGCUUUAAAAGUUUAAAAAGUUAAGGAUGCAUGAGAUCUCAAAGAA